GGGGAUGCCCCGGUUUCGACGGAUAUGGGGAACGCAUUUACUGCAGGCAGGUGUGAAGGCGCCUUUAAGCUGACAAAACAAUAACUGCAAAACGUAGAGAAGAAGAAGAUUCUUCAAACGAACAGUUUGCACUUGCUGCGUAAACAGCGUGCACGGAACUUUUAAGGUUUGUUUUUGGCUUUAAAAUGUUCUGACGCUUACAGAAACUUGAAAUACAUUGCUUUUCGGCCUUUGUAUUUGACAUUUAGCCGGAAUAAGGAAAAGACGCUUGUUAUGCUGCUACCUUUUCCCGACAAAUACCUCGCAUAACUACGCCCGUAGAUGUAUUUGGGUUACAUAUUCGGACGCGGGUUCAAUUCCCGCCAUCUCCA
rnacentral:tmRNA from 1 species